rnacentral:rRNA from 1 species
CCUACGAGUGGCUGCAGUGAGGAAUAUUGGUCAAUGGCCGCGAGCCUGAACCAGCCAAGUAGCGUGAAGGAUGACUGCCCUACGGGUUGUAAACCUCUUUUAUGCAGGAAUAAAGUGAUGCACGUGUGCCUUUUUGUAUGUAUUUUAUGAAUAAGGAUCGGCUAAUUCCGUGCCAGCAGCCGCGGUAAUACGGAGGAUCCGAGCGUUAUCCGGAUUUAUUGGGUUUAAAGGGAGCGUAGAUGGGUUGUUAAGUCAGUUGUGAAAGUUUGCGGCUCAACCGUAAGAGUGCAAUUGAUACUGGCAGCCUUGAGUACAGUGGAGGUAGGCGGAAUUCGUGGUGUAGCGGUGAAAUGCUUAGAUAUCACGAAGAACUCCGAUUGCGAAGGCAGCCUACUAAACUGCCACUGACAUUGAUGCUCGAAAGUGUGGGUAUCAAACAGGAUUAGAUACCCCUGUAGUC